rnacentral:rRNA from 1 species
AACGAACGCUGGCGGCAGGCCUAACACAUGCAAGUCGAACGCCCCGCAAGGGGAGUGGCGCACGGGUGAGUAACGCGUGGGAAUAUGCCCUUCGGUUCGGAAUAACACAGGGAAACUUGUGCUAAUACCGGAUACGAUCUACGGAUGAAAGAUUUAUCGCCGAGGGAGUAGCCCGCGUAGGAUUAGCUAGUUGGUGAGGUAAUGGCUCACCAAGGCGACGAUCCUUAGCUGGUCUCAGAGGAUGAUCAGCCACACUGGGACUGAGACACGGCCCAGACUCCUACGGGAGGCAGCAGUGGGGAAUAUUGGACAAUGGGCGAAAGCCUGAUCCAGCCAUGCCGCGUGAGUGAUGAAGGCCUUAGGGUUGUAAAGCUCUUUCGCCAGGGAAGAUAAUGACGGUACCUGGAAAAGAAGCCACGGCUAACUACGUGCCAGCCGCCGCCGUAA